rnacentral:rRNA from 1 species
AGUGAACGCUGGCGGUAGGCCUAACACAUGCAAGUCGAACGGCAGCACAGUAAGAGCUUGCUCUUACGGGUGGCGAGUGGCGGACGGGUGAGGAAUACAUCGGAAUCUACUUUUUCGUGGGGGAUAACGUAGGGAAACUUACGCUAAUACCGCAUACGCCCUACGGGUGAAAGCAGGGGAUCUUCGGACCUUGCGCGAUUGAAUGAGCCGAUGUCGGAUUAGCUAGUUGGCGGGGUAAAGGCCAACCAAGGCGACGAUCCGUAGCUGGUCUGAGAGGAUGAUCAGCCACACUGGAACUGAGACACGGUCCAGACUCCUACGGGAGGCAGCAGUGGGGAAUAUUGGACAAUGGGCGCAAGCCUGAUCCAGCCAUACCGCGUGGGUGAAGAAGGCCUUCGGGUUGUAAAGCCCUUUUGUUGGGAAAGAAAAGCAGCAGGUUAAUACCCCGCUGUUCUGACGGUACCCAAAGAAUAAGCACCGGCUAACUUCGUG